rnacentral:antisense_RNA from 1 species
GCGGAAAGCGCGCGCCAGCUGCACGCAGGGAAACAGUUCUCAUUUUGUGUGCUCGGCUGACUGCACGUCCAGCCUCGGGCCAGCUCGAGACGGCCACAUUGCCUGGUUGAAGAUGGCUGAGCGUAAAACAGAAUGCAAGUCAGCUGGAGCACGUACUACUGGAGGCAGAGCCCCAUAAGAAGGGGCCAAGAACCCGCACCCACCAAAAUCAAGAAGAAAGGCUGAACCCGGAGAGAAAAGGGAGCAACUGAUGUUGCCAUGCAGAUCCCUUGGUUGCUAUGAGAUGGUAACAUCACUCUGCCCCACCAUUGGCCAGUGCCUCCUCAGCUGCGGUGCCUCCCAGGCUGUGUGGUUCUCACGCGGGCCACUGACACAGAGCUGUUACUAUGGUGAACUUUACAAUUUCCUUUGAUUGGUGGAUUUCAGAAAUAGGCCAUCAGCGGAAUUCAUUAUAUUCAGCUAACCUGGCUCAGCUUCUCAGCUUCUCAGGUGGAUUGGUGAGUCCUGGCCAAUUAUGCUUCAGCUCAUCUCUACUCUCGGCAAAUAGGAAAAGGGAGUGAAGGACUGAGUUUUAACCCUUCUAAUUUCGUAACCUGACUCU